rnacentral:rRNA from 1 species
CAGUCGCCGCGGUAAUACAGAGGAUGCAAGCGUUAUCCGGAAUGAUUGGGCGUAAAGCGUCUGUAGGUGGCUUUUCAAGUCCGCCGUCAAAUCCCAGGGCUCAACCCUGGACAGGCGGUGGAAACUACCAAGCUGGAGUGCGGUAGGGGCAGAGGGAAUUUCCAGUGGAGCGGUGAAAUGCGUUGAGAUCGAAAAGAACACCAACAGCGAAAGCACUCUGCUGGGACGACACUGACACUAAGAGACGAAAGCUAGGGGAGCAAAUGGGAUUAGAUACCCCCGUAGUCCCUGUCUCUUAUAA